rnacentral:rRNA from 1 species
CCGGCGACCGGCGCACGGGUGAGUAACACGUAUGAAACCUGCCCGUAGCAGGGGAUAAGCGGAAGAAAUUCCGUCUAAUACCGCGUAACAACCCAUGGAGGCAUCUCUGUGGGUUUAAAGGAAGCGAUUCCGGCUACGGAUGGUCAUGCGUCGCAUUAGCUUGUUGGCGGGGUAACGGCCCACCAAGGCGACGAUGCGUAGGGGUUCUGAGAGGAAGGUCCCCCACACUGGUACUGAGACACGGACCAGACUCCUACGGAAGGCAGCAG